UCACAAGGCUUCAAAACAAGGCAUGGAUCACAUUAACUCAAGCGAAACAAAUCACAACAUACACAUGCAAGCUAAACAAGUCAUAAUCACACAGAUGCUCAUGAACAUGAUGAGAACAUAAAAUAUGGGUUCCUACAGACUAGCGGGAACUCCUUAUUGGAGAGAAGGAAGGUCUUAUCCAGUUGCCAUCAGACAAAGCCCUUCUGGAGGAUCCAAUAUUCUGUCCUCUGGUUGAAAAAUAUGCCGCAGACAAGAAUGUUUUUUUUGCAGAUUAUGCUGAAGCUCAUUUAAAGCUCUCCGAGCUUGGAUUCACGGAUGCUAAGUGACGGGGAUGGAAAAAGGCUGGCUGUUGUGUGCUGUCUGGUUUCUGGAGUCCGUUUUAUUCCUUCUACACGUAAACUUGCUUGAAAGUCAGUAAUUGUUAAAUCGUCGUAAAAAUCAUUAACUGUCGUUAUAAGAAAGCGACGGUUUGUAACCUGUUGCAAAUACUUUUUGCCAUGCCCCCCUCCUGUAACUCCCCAUUUCCUGUUGCUACUCCAUUGUAAAAUGUCUUUUGCAACGAUAUGUAAAUCUUUUGCGACGUUUAAUAGCAUCGCAAAAACUCUGGCUUUUAGUAGUGAUUCUUAUAGGUAGCCACUGGUGAUGGAAUGGUAAUGGCCCAUAGAGCCCAAGCUGUGAUUUCCAACAUGGAAUACGUAAUCAUUGAUACAUGCAAAAAUGAAUUAAUUCCUUAUGAUUGUUGUGUCAAACUUUAUUUUUAUAUUUUUUUAAAAAGGACAAUUAUGUUUUACCAAAUGGAUUACUGUCUUAAUAUUAUGUGCAAGGGUUCAAAGUGCAAAGAUGCCAUGAAAUGAAACCUGACUGUCCUGUUUAUCUGCAUGGUGUAAUUGUAAUGACUUGGUCAAGAACAGUGAUCAAGUCGUUUCUUCAAAAUUUUAUUUUUUAUUAUCAUGAAGUGGGUGAAAACAUAUAUUCUAUAAUAUUUUCAAUUUUAUCUUAUUAUCAUCUAGUAACCUGGAUAUAGACUUCAUCUCAUUUUGUAUGAUACAUGGAUUAAUUUCA